rnacentral:rRNA from 1 species
UGGCGGUAUGCUUAACACAUGCAAGUCGAACGGAUUCCUUCGGGAAUUAGUGGCGGACGGGUGAGUAACACGUGAGAACCCACCUUCAGAACGGGGAUAACAGUUGGAAACGACUGCUAAUACCCGAUGUGCCGAGAGGUGAAAGAUUUAUCGUCUGAAGAAGGGCUCGCGGCUGAUUAGCUAGUUGGUAGGGUAAAGGCCUACCAAGGCAACGAUCAGUAACUGGUCUGAGAGGAUGAGCAGUCACACUGGAACUGAGAAACGGUCCAGACUCC